CCCCUGGUGGUCUAGUGGUUAGGAUGUGGCACUCUCAGCGCCACGGCCUGGGUUCGGUUCCUGGUCAGGGAA
rnacentral:tRNA from 1 species